UCACGAGCCUAUCCUUGACCGACAGGUCCGGGUAAUCUCGUGAAACUGCAUCGUGAUGGGGAUAGAUUAUUGCAAUUAUUAAUCUUCAACGAGGAAUGCCUAGUAAGCGCGAGUCAUCAGCUCGCGUUGAUUACGUCCCUGCCCUUUGUACACACCGCCCGUCGCUCCUACCGAUUGGAUGUGCUGGUGAAGCGUUUGGAUUGGCGACCUGCGGCGGUAACGCUGUUUGUCGCCGAGAAGUUCGUUAAACCCUCCCAUCUAGAGGAAGGAGAAGUCGUAACAAGGUUUCCUUUCGCGUCAGGUUCCAUCCUGCUGAAGCCUUAGCCGCCCGAAAGGGUGCUCGCCGCGACUUUAUUCGACACUCUCGAAAAAUAAAGAGCGAGCUCAAAGAGCUAGUCAGUUGGCCUCCAACUGGCGACACCGUCAAAUUGCGGGGACGCCCACCCGACUCUCGAACACCAAGCGGCUCGCCGAAAGGCGCCCGUGGCCGGGGUAAUGACCCAGGGUAUGGUAACAGCGUCGAGAGGAGAAGCUUUGAAUAUUUAUUCAAAGUGGAAGUGGGUCAUCCGCAGCCAAGUCCUACGGCUCUUUCGAUUUUUUGAAAGGUGCCAAAGGAUGCUGUUCACAGACUACAUGGCGGUGGGUUUUCUCUUUCGAAGGAAAAGAAAGCCUAAGAUAUAGUCGGGCCCUUCCGGUAACGGA
rnacentral:ncRNA from 1 species